CGCAGAGCGGUUUGGUCGUUCGUUGGGGGCAGUGUCGUUUCUUCGCUUGUCGACUGCGGCUCUUCCUCAGGUGGCAGAAGCGGCGCGGCGGUCGGAGAAGUGGCCUAAAACUUCCGCGUGGGGUAAAAGAAAAUGGCCCGAACCAAGCAGACUGCUGGUAAAUCCACUGGUGGGAAAGCACCCCGCAAGCAGCUGGCCACGGAAGCCGCCAGGAAAAGCGCCCCCUCUACCAGCGGGGUGAAGAAACCUCGUCGCUGCAGGCCCGGGACCGUAGCGCUUGGAGAGAUUCGUCCUUACAUCGGGAAGCUGCCUUUCCAGAGGUUGGUGAGGGAGAUCGCGCAGGAUUUCAACACCGACCUGAGGUUUCAGAGCGCUGCAGGAGGCUGCUGCAGCCUACCUGGUGGGUAUGCUCGAAGAUACUAACCUGUGUGCCAUCCACGCUAAGAGUCACCAGCAUGCCCAAAGACAUCCAGGUUGGCUCGCCGGAUACGGAGAGAGAGCUUAAGUGAAGGCAG